rnacentral:rRNA from 1 species
UACGUAGGGUGCAAGCGUUGUCCGGAAUUAUUGGGCGUAAAGGGCCCGUAGGCGGUUUGUCGCGUCGGGGGUGAAAACUCAGGGCUUAACCCUGAGCCUGCUUCCGAUACGGGCAGACUAGAGGUAUGCAGGGGAGAAUGGAAUUCCUGGUGUAGCGGUGAAAUGCGCAGAUAUCAGGAGGAACACCGGUGGCGAAGGCGGUUCUCUGGGCAUUACCUGACGCUGAGGAGCGAAAGUGUGGGGAGCGAACAGG